ensembl:lncRNA
AGGGAGUAUUGGUACCGGGCAGAGGCUGCGGUCCCACCUCCAAUGCCUCGGGGGUGGCUGCAGCCGCCGGUCCGGGCACAGCGGCCACACGGUGUCACCCGCGUCCCACCGCCGGGCUCCGACAGGGCAGAGCAGCGAUGCUCUCCGGUGAGCGCUCCGGAACAAGGAAGCGCUGCCGGCCUGGAAUCGCAACCCCUUUUUCACGGCGUUUUUGAGAGCUAGGAUGCUGCCAAGUUUUUCCACCUGUUCUUUCCUUCCCCAUCCAUGAGAAAGUCUCCCAGGAGAGGAAUUACCACGGUCCAGUGCAGCCACAAGCAGGUUAAAAAGAAGGAUCCCAGUCCUGCUGCUGAUGGGUCUCCAGACAGCUUGGAUGUAACUUUCCACUUGGAUGUUCACAGUGUUUGGGAUACAGAUUCACAAGACAGAGGCUUUGAAGCCCCUGAAAGUAGCCUGCUCCGCUGCUUGAAUAUCUGCAGUUCCACAUCAAUCAUUGCCUAGUGGACAUAAACACAUCCAACCGAGCACCUUCAGACCGUGCCUUUCACCUUCUUCCUGAGCCCUCGCGUCUCUGUGAUGUGAAGUUUUCUCUUUAGCAAAAGAGUUCCUCACAAUAGGCAGCACAAUGUGACAUUCGGGGCCAUGUUGCAGAACCUUUGUGCCCUCACAGGCUCCGAGGAGGAUAAAAGUGCCAUUUCCCGGUGGAUGUUGAAAUGGGGCCAGGUGCUCCAGCAGAGCAAAUCCUGGAGAUGUCAGAGUUCUCUGCAGAGGAAAUAAUAAUAAUAAAAAAAAAAACAACAGCGUAAUGUCCUUUCAGGUAAUUCAAAACAGUUCACUUUUAACAAACAGAGAUGUCAUGCCUCAAUUUGACUUGAUUUUGUGUCGUAUUUAUAGCACAUAAUAUAAUGAAAAAAAUAAAUGGAAAGUCAUUUCAAAAUGAAAACUAAAAAUGUUUCUCUUCCAAAAUGUUGAAACGGGGCUUUUCAACCAUUUCAAAAUGAUGCUUUCAAUCUCUUUUUUCUUUCCCCAAUCCAAGAAAUGCAUUGAAAACAUCACAGAACUUUUCAGUUUCCACAAAUUGACAUUUUUCAUUGAAAUUCGCAUAUCUGUAAAGGUGGGUUUUUUUUCUUCUUUUUUUCUUUUUUAAAUCCAAGGAUCUUAAACAUUAAUUUGUUGUUAGGCCUCAGAGCGCUUCUGAAUGGUAGUUAAGUGUUAUGAUCCUCAUUUUGCAGGAAGGGAAUCUGACUCAUAAAGAAACAUAAAGUGCAAUUGAGUUCCCACUUACUUCAGUGGAAGAAUUGAUGUGCCCAAGGUCAGAGAGAAAGUCGAUAGCGGAGCUGGGGAAAAGAAGCAGGAGUUUUGAAGCCAGUGCCUUUCAUGCAGCCACCACUCCCUUUGCUGAGCGAUCCAAGCCCA